rnacentral:lncRNA from 1 species
CUUUUUUCAUCAAAAUAUGGUAUGCGUCAAGCGUUGUUUCCAUAGGGAACGUACCGACGUUUUUUGUCUGCCAACAAGAACUGAGUUGCUGUAGAGAGCACUCGGCCCUCUGGUUGACAUUUCCAUCUCGAUACAGGCCAGUGGUUCACGAUGUACAUGCCGCCAACGUUUUUUAUCACGUGUCUGUGCCAAGUUUGAGUUCGUUCUAGACUGGAUAUAGAGCGAAGUCUCCGUGCUCUUUCGAAGGGUUAUGGGGUGGAGGAAUAAAGCUCAGGAGCUUUUUCGGAACGUCGAAAAUCUCAUCGACUCUGAGGAGGUGCUUGUCAGCUCAAAAACGUACGGGAAACACGAGAACCAGCCUGAUUUGGAUUAUGGUAAAACAAAUGGAUUCAGGAGACAAGGAUGCGCAAGGGGCCAGCAGUAGGACAUGGAUAGUGCCUGCUGUUUAUAGUGUCAACACGUUCCACAGUAAACACCUGCUGUAGGUUGUUGUGUGAUUGAAAAGUAUCCGACGACUGUUUUAUAUUCAACUUGAGAAAAAAACAGUGGUGCUCCGCGGAUAUACGGCCCUCAGUGGACAUGUCCACUUUUCUUACCUUAAGGGCCGCGUGAAGUUCAGCGUCUGCACUAACGACUUGAACGGCAAAAAUUGUGAGAUAUACGAACGGUUUGCGAAGGAAAAAGAUAACCAUACUAGCACAAGUGUCCGUAGGUGUGCGAGCGUUUUGAUGCACCAAUGUAUUUGAACCAGCGUGGCAGGCGUAGUAUCAGGAAAGCAUUAGCGUUUCAAGUUCCCUGAAGGAUUGAAACGCAAAACGUAGUCGGUUUUCAGGACCAAGCACCGCCGUACAGGACAAUGCCACGGACCACCGGUGAACUUUUACUUGUGUGAUUCCAUAGUAGGUUGAGUUGCAAUCAUCAUAACGACGAGGUAACGCUUGAGCCCAGCCACACCAGCUCGCCGCCUCAAGCGCCUUCGCUUUCCUCUCCUCGGUGGCAAGGAAACCCACUGGAGGAAGGACCAUGCAGUUAGGAACACAACGCUACGGCACACUAGAUACG